AUUAAACUGAAGAGUUUGAUCCUGGCUCAGAUUGAACGCUGGUGGCAUGCUUAACACAUGCAAGUCGAACGGUAACAGGAGAAGCUUGCUUCUUGCUGACGAGUGGCGGACGGGUGAGUAACGCGUAGGAAUCUGCCCAUCUGUGGGGGAUACCAGUUGGAAACGACUGUUAAUACCGCAUAAUAUCUGCGGAUUAAAGGUGGCCUUUGUGCUGCCGCAGAUGGAUGAGCCUGCGUUGGAUUAGCUUGUUGGUGGGGUAAAGGCCUACCAAGGCUACGAUCCAUAGCUGAUUUGAGAGGAUGAUCAGCCACAUUGGGACUGAGACACGGCCCAAACUCCUACGGGAGGCAGCAGUGGGGAAUAUUGGACAAUGGGCGAAAGCCUGAUCCAGCAAUGCCAUGUGUGUGAAGAAGGCUCUAGGGUUGUAAAGCACUUUAGUUGGGGAGGAAAGCUUAUGAGUUAAUAGCUCAUAAGAAGGACGUUACCCAAAGAAUAAGGACCGGCUAACUCCGUGCCAGCAGCCGCGGUAAUACGGGGGGUCCGAGCGUUAAUCGGAAUUACUGGGCGUAAAGGGUCUGUAGGUGGUUUGUUAAGUCAGAUGUGAAAGCCCGUGGCUCAACCUUGGAACUGCAUUUGAUACUGGCAAACUAGAGUAUGGUAGAGGAAUGGGGAAUUUCUGGUGUAGCGGUGAAAUGCGUAGAGAUCAGAAGGAACACCAAUGGCGAAGGCAACAUUCUGGACCAAUACUGACACUGAGGGACGAAAGCGUGGGGAUCAAACAGGAUUAGAUACCCGGUAGUCCACGCUGUAAACGAUGAGUACUAGCUGUUGGAUUCGGUGUAAAGGAUCUAGUGGCGCAGCUAACGCGUUAAGUACUCCGCCUGGGGACUACGGCCGCAAGGCUAAAACUCAAAGGAAUUGACGGGGACCCGCACAAGCGGUGGAGCAUGUGGUUUAAUUCGAUGCAACGCGAAGAACCUUACCUGGUCUUGACAUCCUGCGAACUUUCUAGAGAUAGAUUGGUGCCUUCGGGAACGCAGUGACAGGUGCUGCACGGCUGUCGUCAGCUCGUGUUGUGAAAUGUUGGGUUAAGUCCCGCAACGAGCGCAACCCCUAUUGAUAGUUACCAUCAUUAAGUUGGGUACUCUAUUGAGACUGCCGCUGACAAGGCGGAGGAAGGUGGGGACGACGUCAAGUCAUCAUGGCCCUUACGACCAGGGCUACACACGUGCUACAAUGGGUAUUACAGAGGGCUGCGAAGGUGCGAGCUGGAGCGAAACUCAGAAAGGUACUCUUAGUCCGGAUUGCAGUCUGCAACUCGACUGCAUGAAGUCGGAAUCGCUAGUAAUCGCAGGUCAGAAUACUGCGGUGAAUACGUUCCCGGGUCUUGUACACACCGCCCGUCACACCAUGGGAGUGGGUUGCUCCAGAAGUAGAUAGCUUAACGAAUGGGCGUUUACCACGGAGUGAUUCAUGACUGGGGUGAAGUCGUAACAAGGUAGCCGUAGGGGAACCUGCGGCUGGAUCACCUCCUUAA
rnacentral:rRNA from 1 species